rnacentral:rRNA from 1 species
AUUGAACGCUGGCGGCAGGCCUAACACAUGCAAGUCGAGCGAGCGGCGGACGGGUGAGUAAUGUCAGGGAAACUGCCUGAUGGAGGGGGAUAACUAAUGGAAACGGUAGCUAAUACCGCAUACCAUCAGAUGUGCCCAGAUGGGAUUAGCUAGUGGGGGGGGUAACGGCUCACCAAGGCGACGAUCACUAGCUGGUCUGAGAGGACGACCAGCCACACUGGAACUGAGACACGGUCCAGACUCCUACGGGAGGCAGCAGUGGGGAAUAUUGCACAAUGGGCGCAAGCCUGAUGCAGCCAUGCCGCGUGUGUGAAGAAGGUCUUCGGGGUGUAAAGCACUUUCAGCGGGGAGGCGUUACCCACAGAAUAAGCACCGGCUAACUCCGUGCCAGCCGCCGCGGUAAUUC